AUGCUAUUCUCUCAAAUCAUCCCACCCUCGCCUUCUCCCACAGAGUCUGAAAGACUGUUUUUACAUCUGUGUCUCUUUUGCUGUCUCACAUAUAGGGCCAUCAUUACUAUCUUUCUAAAUUCCAUAUAUAUACAUGCACUCAUCUCACACUCUAGUAAAGUAAUGCUCAAAGUUUUCCAAGCCAGGCUUCAGCAAUAUAUGGACCGUGAACUUCCAGAUGUUCAAGCUGGUUUUAGAAGAGGCAGAGGAACCAGAGAUCAAAUUGCCAACAUCUGCUGGAUCAUCAAAAAAGCAAGAGAGUUCCAGAAAAACAUCUAUUUCUGCUUUAUUGACUAUGCCAUAGCCUUUGACUGUGUGGAUCACAAUCAACUAUGGAAAAUUCUGAGAGAGAUGGGAAUACCAGACCACCUGACCUGCCUCUUGAGAAACCUAUAUGCAGGUCAGGAAGCAACAGUUAGAACUGGACAUGGAACAACAGACUGGUUCCAAAUAGGAAAAGGAGUACGUCAAGGCUGUAUAUUGUCACCCUGCUUGUUUAACUUAUAUGUAGAGUACAUCAUGAGAAACACUGGGCUGGAAGAAGCACAAGCUGGAAUCAAGAUUGCCAGGAGAAAUAUCAAUAACCUCAGAUAUGCAGAUGACACCACCCUUAUGGCAGAAAGUGAAGAGGAACUAAAAAGCCUCUUGAUGAAAGUGAAAGAGGAGAGUGAAAAAGUUGAGUUAAAGCCCAACAUUCCGAAAACGAAGAUCAUGGCAUCUGGUCCCAUCACUUCAUGGCAAAUAGAUGGGGAAACAGUAGAAACAGUGUCAGACUUUAUUUUUCUGGGCUCCAAAAUCACUGCAGAUGGUGAUUGCAGCCAUGAAAUUAUAAGAUGCUUACUCCUUGGAAGGAAAGUUAUGACCAACCUAGAUGGCAUAUUCAAGAGCAGAGACAUUACUUUGCCAACAAAGGUCCGUCUAGUCAAGACUAUGGUUUUUCCAGUGGUUAUGUAUGGAUGUGAGAGUUGGACUGUGAAGAAAGCUGAGUGCUGA
rnacentral:lncRNA from 1 species